GGCCCUGCCCGGCCCUGCCCGGCUCUGCGCCGCCGGGGCCAUGGCCGGGCCCGAGCCGGGACUGCGGCUCCGCUUCCAGCGGCGGUUCCUGGCGGCGCGGCCGCUCCGCUCGCUGCCCUGGCCGGAGCUGGAACAAAACCUGCGGGCUGCGCCGGACUCGCCCCUGCUCCGGGAUAUCCUGCACCAGACCAUCCUCCACCCUCUGUGUGUGAAAUAUCCCCCCUCAACCAAGUACAGGAGAUGCUUUCUGACUGAGCUCAUAAAAAAGCACGAAUCCACAGCAGCUGAACCCCUGGAUGAACUGUAUAAUACACUGGCAGAUGUUUUAAAAGAAGAAGAAUCUACUCAGUGUUACAAAAACUACUUACUGCCCACAGGAGACUGUGUGACCCUUUGUGAGAGCACAGCCAUGAUCUCUGGGGGCACCACAGGGCUCGUCACGUGGGAGGCUGCUCUGCACCUCGCCGGGUGGGCAGGGGGCAACCCCGAGGUGUUCAGGGCCAGGACAGUCUUGGAAUUAGGAAGUGGGAUUGGCUUCACUGGAAUUGCCAUCUGUAAGACCUGCCAACCCAAGACAUACAUAUUUAGUGACUGCCACCCCUGUGUUCUCAGACAGCUGGGAGAGAACAUCCGUCUCAAUGGCUUCCAAGUGACCUGGUGUAUCCAAACAGAGCCCCAAGGGCAGGAGGUGGAAGCAAAGAACUGCCAAACCCCAAAACUGAUGGUUGCAGAACUUGACUGGGGCUCAGUGACAGAGGAACAGCUGGUGGGUCUCCAACCUGACGUGGUCAUCGCAGCAGAUGUGGUGUAUGAUCCAGAGAUAAUUUUAGUCCUCAUUGGGAUGCUACAGAAACUCUCCACCUGCAGAGCAGACAGAAAAGCUCCCGAGGUCUUCAUUGCCUUCACACUCCGUAACCCAGACACGUAUCACCUGUUCCAGGCUGAACUGGAUAAAGUCGAGAUCAGGUGGCAGAUUAUUCCAGCCCACGGCAACAGUAAUUUUCUCUAUGAUGUGCAGCCAAAUGUAACUAUUCUCCAGCUAUUUAUAUAGGCUUGGCAAAUAAAAUUAGAAUUUUGAGACCAACAGGAGCUAUGUCAUCCUUGCAACAAGAUUAUCCUGAGUUCUGGAAGCACAUACCAGAGGUGCUGGACUGUACACAUGGGCUGUUGUCAAUGUGAGUUGUUUCUUCCUGUAAUUUCCAGCAUUUCUGCAAAGAAGCUGCUGCUCCUGAAAAGAGUGACCCUGAAAAUAAGCUGGAACGUGCACAGGCAGCUGUAUUUCAGCACAGAAGAGACAAAGAGUGCAAAGAACAGGCUAAAACAGCAACAGGUACUAAGCCAACUUUUUGGGAUAACAGUGAAUAGCCAGAGAAAUUCAACAUUUUUGCUGGAAUGAGUCAAAGCCACGAGUCUCCUGUCACUAACCAAGCACUCAUUGCUAUAUUCUACCAGGUUCUGUGCACAGUCUGUAUCAGUUCUCUGCCCCUGUGCCAAGUUGUUUUUCACAUGUUCUCCAGCCUGUUUCAUCACCCACUAUUUACCAAGCAAAAGAGGGUAAUCCUCAGCUUCCAGCCACGGUGUACAGAUCUGGAUAUGUUUAAAGUGCAGUUUCUGUAUCAGUCCAUUGUAGUAGUCUUUUAGAGGUCCUUUACCUGUUUAAAACAGAAAAGAAAAAUAUUUAGUAGUUUUUCAUCAAGAUGAUUGAAAAUAGUGUGGUCUGUGAAUUUUACUGUACAGCUGCUGAGCUCCUGUUGUAUCAGGUACGUCCAAAAGGACACCACACAUGAUCCUCCAAAAGACACAUAAAUAUCCAAGUCCCUUCCACAGUGAUGUGUACCUAGAGUUUAAACUGUUCUGAACAUGGAGUAGUGCAGAACUGUAGUAGGGACAGUGAGCAGAGAGGGAGGCCAAGAGCUUCUCCUCUGAAAAUGUGCCAUGAUUACAUCGUGUGAGUUCAACUAUAAAUUCAACUAUAAAUUACCAUUCUUAUAACCAGACAUAAAGACAAUAGUCUCUUCUCACCAUCAGAAGAGCCAGCACAGAACAAAAGUGAAAAUGAAUGUUCUGUAUCAGCACUGAAAGAAUUGCAACACAAACAGACCCUUACCUGUUAUCACACACACCAGAGCUGGAAGCUUGGCUCCCUCAUCAAUAAACCUCUCAUAGUCUGGAGGAGAUAAAACACUGCUUGGAGGCCACAAAUACACAGAUGGUUGGUUUAACAGUGGUCACAGUGUAUUAAUUAUUUAGCUUCCUACUACAAGUAAUUUCUUUACAGGCAUGUACUUAGUAAAACAGUAGUAAAUUCAGCAAUGUUAAAAUUUACAAACUUGUACAGAAAUAAAUCAUGCUCUGUUUAUGCAGCAAGCAUUUGUUCAACUGCCCCACAAUCAGCUGCUUCAAUAGAUCAAUUUACAAUUGCCAGCUGCAAAGCCUACAAAAUAAGACAAAGUAUUCCCUUCCUUCCUAUUAGCAGAUGCCUAUGGAGAGUAUCUGUAAUAGCUUAAGAAAUAAAACUGCAAUUUAGAAGCUAGUUAGAGAUUUAAUUCUCCCUGACAACUCCUCUAAUUGAAUCCAGAUGUUGCCCUUCUGUAUUUCAAUUACUACUCUUAAACCAGUGCUACUUAAUCAAAUACAGCUGCAUUUUCACCUGAAUAGGGUUUAGCAAAACCCUUUUUAAGUGUCCAGAAAACAACCCUUGGAAAAAUGAGAUUAAUUCCUUCAUACCCACCUUCUAAAGCUUUUAAAAGGACAGAGAAGUCUUCAUCCUCUGAAAGAGAAGGCUUUAUUAGUGACAUCCAUAUUUGUAUCAUUUAUGAUGAAUUACUGUCUUUAAAUAACAACAGUCAGACUCACCUCACCUCACCAACAUUGAUUUAGUACAGACCAUGCUUUUCCUAUUAAAAUCUGCUGAUUUGCUUUCAUAAAUAAAAGUCUAUAACCACAGACACUGUUUAUUUGCUUCCCUUGCUGGCAAUAUGGCAGACAAACCACUCACAACUGCUGCACAUCUUCAAAGCUAUCAAGUUACAAUUUUCUAGUUUCUAAAACUAAAGAAUUGAGUGCAAAAACUGCCCUGACAAUUCAAAGAUAAAGACAAUUCUGCCAAUUCUGCCCCUGGUUACUAGCAAUGGAAUUUUUUUGCCUCUGUGUGAAGAAGGGAACAGAAAAUGGAAACAAGUGACAUAAUUAUGUAACACACAUUAUCAGAAAUCAUGGAAUCACAGACUGGUUUGGGUUGGAAGGGACCUUAAAACUCAUCUUGUCCCAAGCCCUACCAUGGGCAGGGACACCUUCCAUUAGACCAGGGUGCUCAAUAAGGAGUAAAUAUUUUAAUUUCUUAAACUAUUCUAUGCCACCCUGCAAGAUAGUAUGUCUAGAAUGAAAGCAAAAAAAGAAGUAGGAAAUCUCUUCAACCAUCCUUAAAGCUGAGCCUCUAGACUGUAGCUCUAUAAUUAAAACAUAACUUUAAAAAAUCAUUGAUUUUCAG